UGUCUUGUGUUUGGGAAUAAAGGAACCUAGGAGGGCCGGGUUUGCGAACUUCCUGGGUGGUGAUAUGCUCCGCUGAGCUCGAGCAGUGUAAUUAUCACUUGCUUGCACCGCCGGAAGAAAUGUGAUCCUAGGUUCCCUUGUUUCCAAAUUCAAGGCCGGUG
rnacentral:pre_miRNA from 1 species